ACUGGGUGUGGUGGUGCAUGCCUGUAAUCCCAGUGGCUUGGGAAGCUGAGGCAGGAGGAUGGCAAGUUCAAGGCCAGCCUCAGAAAGUUAAGGAGGACUUAUGCAACUUAGCAGGACCCUGUCUCAA
rnacentral:sRNA from 1 species